GACGAACGCUGGCGGCAUGCCUAAUACAUGCAAGUAGAACGCACAGUUCAUACCUUAGCUUGCUCCACCAUAUACCGUGAGUUGCGAACGGGUGAGUAACGCGUUGAUAACCUGCCUGGUAGCGUGGUACAAGUAUUGGACACGAUAGCUAAUACCGCAUAAUAUUGAUUAUUGCAUGAUUAUUGAUUCUAAGUUGCUAUUGCAUCACUACCAGAUGCACCUACGUUGUAUUAGCUAGUAGGGGUGGUAACGGCCCACCUAGGGGAGGAUGCAUAGCCGACCUGAGAGGGUGAUCGGCCACGCUGGGAUGAGGGCACGGCCCAGACCCCUACGAGAGGCAGCAGGAGGGGAUCUUCGGCAAUGGAAGCAAGUCUGAACGAGGGACGCCGCGUGAGAGCAGGAGGUUGUCGGAUCGCAAAGGUCAGGAGUAAGAGAGGGACGGAAGUGAGAGUGGAAAGUGCACAUUGUGACGGUAUCUUAACAGAAAGGUACGGCUAACUACGUG
rnacentral:rRNA from 1 species